GCUCCCACGGAUGCCAGGGAACAAGGGACAGGAUGAGAGGAAACGACCUUAAGCUGUGCCAGGGGAGGUUCAGGUUGGAUAGUAAGGAAAUUUUUUGUGGAAAGGCUCAGAAAGCAUUGGAACAGCCUGCCCAGGGCCGUGGUGGAGCCACCAUCCCUCGUGUUCAAAAAACAUGUGGAUGUGGCACUUGAGGACAUGGUGAUGGCAUUGGGCUGAUGAUUGGAAUUGAUGAUCUUAAAGAUCUUUUCCAACCUUAACAAUGCUGUGAUUCCACGAUUCAAUCACCCAGAAUUCUCAGAGUCCUGCAGUUCACUAUAAAGAUCCCACCAGAGGAGGGAGUCCAUCACUGCAACUCCCUGGAAAUCCUCAUAAGCCCUCAAAUAGUUGUGAGGUAACAACACUUUGUGGGGUUUUGUGCUGCUUAUGAGGAGUUCACAUCAUGGGAUCAGAGCUGAGCACUUGCCUGGACAUGUUCCUCGGUCCUUAGCAAUUGAGAGCACACACUGUGAGUGUUCUGGGUGCCUGCUGCCCCUGUCCCCUCCCUGCUGCUUCCUCCUUUUCUCUCUCACAGCUCUCAGUUCUGAAGGUCCUGCUUUUCCCCUGGAACUUGCUUGGACAAGCCACCCUGCUCUAAGCAGCCACAGUGUUUAUCCUUUCCCCCAGCACUCCAAGUCCUCAUUCCUCACUGAAACAAUCUCUCAGGACCCAGAUACAGGAGGAAAACUUUGCACUAGAAAGCAACUGAGCCUCUCGAGCCUCCCUGCUCUGCCCCUGAGGCUGUGUUAUCAUCCGACCCUCUGUGCGGAGAAGCUUCCGAAAUGGAUGGAACUAAUAAUCGUGGAAAAACUCCGGCUGCAUUUACAGCCUCUGCCUGCAAAAGUGGAGCCUUGAUUUCAAAGCCUGCGGCGACAAAUGGAUUAUUUCGGUGGCAAAUUAGUCUCUGGGGACCGACAAUUUGGGGAGCUGAGCGCUGGAACUGGAAAGCAGCAGAUCAAUUCCGAACACUUGGAGCCAAGGUUAAUGCCCUGCAAACUAUUGAGUGCAGCGAUGAAGGAUAACGUGUCAAAUGGGAAGCUUGGGAAUAUGGAAUUAAAGGGAAAAUGGGGAAGGUUGGAACAAGGAGAGUGAGCGAGACCCACAGAUUUGUUAAUAAAACCUGGGGACUGAGGUUUUGGGUGAGCGCUGAGGGUGACAGUGGGAUUUGAAUAAAAGAACUAGAACUAAUAUCUCUGGGAAGGAGGGUUUUGGACUUGGGACAGUAAUGGAAGCUGGCAGUUCUCAUACCUGCCACACUGAGCCUUUCCCGAACAUCAUGGACAGCUCCCAAAAAUUCCUGAUUUCACAUAAAGAGGACAAGACGAGGAUCUCCUGAAGGUUGGAGACCACUCUUCCCACUUUUAUUUGAAAUAACCACAUGAAAUCAUUCCAGGAGCUGAACAAAGACCUUUGGAAGGUGAGAAUUAAAUGGAGUUUGGGGGGGGGAGGCAAGUUUGGGGGUGCUGGGGUGCUAGGAGGUGGUUUUUUGUCUGCAGAGUUUCCAGCAGCCUCCUGAGCACAGCCAGAUGAGAAAUCCCUCCCCAGGUAUCCUGCUCUUGUCCUCAGCACUGGGAAACUUUACAAAAGAAACACACUUUUACUGUCUUAAGAGCUGCUUUGCUUGUCCAGCCUCCAAAUAACUGUUUUGCAGUUAAAAUGGCUUGUUUUCCAUCUCUCUUUACAGUUAUAAUACUUGGAAAUGGACUUUUCCUUUUGUUUUCUGAUAGUAUUGGAUGGUUUUGUAUGUUAUCAGAGGGCAACACUGUGGUGCCCCUUGAAUUAAACUGUCAGAUUUUAAGAACAGUUGUAAGGGAAGGACUGAAAUCCCAUUUUAGGUUCUUUUUUCCUUUGGAAAAUGGCUAUUUUAAAAACCCAGACUCCAUUUGCCUGUUUUCUUUAUAUCCCCUUCCACCAUUCAAAGUUUUGUUGUUGCUCAAAGUCUAGUUGUGUUUAUAUAAAUCCCAAAUAAAGGUGGAUCAGUA